rnacentral:tRNA from 1 species
GCGCUCGUAGCUCAGUUGGAUAGAGCGACAGCCUCCUAAGCUGUAGGCCCCGUGUUCGAUUCACGGCGGGCGCACCA